AUAGUUAGAAUGAUGGAUUAGCCCAAAAUCUGAUUUACAACUAUGACAUACCUGAGCCUUGUUUAUCUUUUUAUGCUUGUUAUUGUAGUAUGUCCUUGGUAGCAAACUCUAGUAAUUAGGAAAAUCUUCCGAUGAUACUUUUGAUCCUUUCACCUCCUUUCUCUUAGUAUUGUAUGCAAAAAUUAAUCUAAUAUCAUUGUUCAGUGGGCCAUAGUUUGUGCCUUCCACAACCUUAAUAUGCUAAAUGGGUAAAUAGAUUUCUCAGUUAUCCUUUGAUCUAUAAGUAUCUAUCCGAUUUUUACGUAUAGUAGCAUGAGUUGUUUGGUCCUCUAUCAAAAUAACUAAAAUAUAUACUUAUCGACUGUUGUUUGAACCAUAGAAUAGUCUGUAUUUAAAAUUUAUAGAAUAAACCUGCUCAUCUGUUAAGAUCACAUCAAGAUUCACUUAUCGAUUAUUUUUGGAACAAUAGAACGGUCUGCAAUUAAAUAUGUAUAGCAUAAACCUGUUCAUCCAUCAAGAUCACAUCAAGGCUCAUAAGUUCAUCAGUUGUAGGAUUGAUUAUAUCCCAUGUUCAUGUUACUUUCACUUAAAAAUCCCAGUUUUGGUCUCUUGUUGAAGUCUCUCAGCUUCUUGUAUUCCCAGGCAUUUUCAGUUGAAAAGGAUUAAAACACACUGCUUCAAAAGGAUUGAAAAAGUAGUUGUCAAUUGAUAAUGUGCAUAUGAAGAUUGUAGCUGACAAAAGUGAGUUCAUAGUAAUAAUAAUUACUAACCAUGUUGAUUCAGGUGAGAAGAAAACUCAGACGGUUGGGUGUGACUUACGUAGAAAUCCAGUUGCAUGCCACUUCAUAAUUUGGGCUGGCUUCGAUAUUUGCGGAGCGCCAAGUCCAAACAUCUUGCAUCACAGAGUCUGUUGGCUUCAACUGUCCUGGUGGUGGCAUCGUCGGCAUCAUAGAGUUGGCUGGCUUCAAUUUUCCUCAUAAAAUAUGUAUAGCAUAAACCUAUUCAUCCAUCAAGAUCAGAUCAAGGCUCAUAAGUUCAUGAGUUGUAGGAUUGAUUAUAUCCCAUGUUCUUGUUACUUUCACUUAAAAAUCCCAGUUUUGGUCUCUUGUUGAAGUCUCUCAGCUUCUUGUAUUCCCAGGCAUUUUCAGUUGAAAAGGAUUAAAACACACUGCUUCAAAAGGAUUGAAAAAGUAGUUGUCAAUUGAUAAUGUGCAUAUGAAGAUUGUAGCUGACAAAAGUGAGUUCAUAGUAAUAAUAAUUACUAACCAUGUUGAUUCAGGUGAGAAGAAAACUCACACAGUUGGGUGUGACUUACGUAGAAAUCCAGUUGCAUGCCACUUCAUAAUUUGAGCUGGCUUCGAUAUUUGCGGAGCGCCAAGUCCAAACAUCUCGCAUCACAGAGUCUGUUGGCUUCAACUGUCCUGGUGGUGGCAUCGUCGGCAUCGUAGAGUUGGUUGGCUUCAAUUUUCCUCGUAAAAUAUGUAUAGCAUAAACCUAUUCAUCCAUCAAGAUCAGAUCAAGGCUCAUAAGUUCAUUAGUUGUAGGAUUGAUUAUAUCCCAUGUUCUUGUUACUUUCACUUAAAAAUCCCAGUUUUGGUCUCUUGUUGAAGUCUCUCAGCUUCUUGUAUUCCCAGGCAUUUUCAGUUGAAAAGGAUUAAAACACACUGCUUCAAAAGGAUUGAAAAAGUAGUUGUCAAUUGAUAAUGUGCAUAUGAAGAUUGUAGCUGACAAAAGUGAGUUCAUAGUAAUAAUAAUUACUAACCAUGUUGAUUCAGGUGAGAAGAAAACUCAGACGGUUGGGUGUGACGUACGUAGAAAUCCAGUUGCAUGCUACUUCAUAAUUUGUGCUGGCUUCGAUAUUUGCGGAGCGCCAAGUCCAAACAUCUCGCAUCACAGAGUCUGUUGGCUCCAACUAUCCUGGUGGUGGCAUCGUCGGCAUCGUAGAGUUGGUUGGCUUCAAUUUUCCUCGUCGUGUCGCUGAGUCGUGAGUUGCUGGGCAUCUUAGAUUUCCAGACUGAAGAUGGGCGUGUUUGGCUGCUGGGUGUGGUCGGCCGUGAAUUUUUAUGGAUGAGUUCUGGCCGUCCUUAUGGAGUCCUUGUAUGUUUAUAUUUCCAAUUAAACGCUAUGUGCUAUGUGCGAAUAGUCUGAUGGAUGCGGCCAGCCGUGUAUUUUUGGGGGCGUGUCCGUAUGCACUCCUUUUGGCUGACCAAGUUACUAAUGUGUCCUUCUGACUUCCGAUUAGGAAUUUUACGUGACAAUAGUUGGAUAUGCAACCUCCACUGUCCAUAUCUAAUAUUAGUUUUGUAGAGAUAAUUUAAUCUUUGGUUUUUUUUUGAACCGGUGCUUCCUUCUAUGACUCCAUUGAUGUACCUUAUGCAUGUGUCGUAUGCAUAUAGACGUGACAGUUCAAUUUCCUGAAACGUACAUAUUCACAUGUACGUAAAAUCUUUAAAUCUGAGCCAUUGUUAUUUUGAUCAAGCGGUGGUAAUAAUAUAGUCUAUG
rnacentral:lncRNA from 1 species